UUGUCAUUGUAAUCACGGGGGUAAGUCUAACCAAGGGUCGAUGUAGUUUUCAGUGGUACCUUCAGUACCAACUCCACUGAGCCGGUCUCCGAUCUUAAUCUUUACUAGCCGAGCAAGCCCAGCCAGGCUAUUUGACCUCUCUGUGAAAACAGCGGAUGGUCCAGAUCGGUUGCAGGAAGCAGGAAGUUAAUGCAGGAAGACUGGACCCAUUUUGAUAUACAAGCGUACCCUCUCCUCAUUCGCCAUAAGGACGAGCCAUCAACAGAUGGAAGCAGGUUGGCGUCAGUUGAGUAGAGAUUCUGCUCUCAGCCCAACAGCUCUUACAGCACCCGUGCCAAAGAAAACCUCUACAUGUUGGAAUUACCUGUCUGGCUCGUGACUACAAACAGCCCUCACAGAAAAAUCUCAGCAUCUCUGGCUGCUGUUCUCGGGACCUCUUCCUGAAGUCAAGAUUCCUUGAAGUCAAUUCCUUUAUUUGAGCCACAGUCUUUUCUCUCUGGCCAGUGCUUCCUGCAGAUGUAUCUUUUCAAGAAACUAACCCUGGAAAUGGCUUGUGACAUACCGUCUGACUCUAACGCGCAAAGAACAAAUUGGCUCUCGGACUCGUUAGAUGCCAGAUGAACUGAUGAACUGAGUUUUUGGUCUGAAGCCUUGAUAAGGUCAGACGUCUUUGCAAAAAAUAAAAAGCUACCACUUCCUUGGCUUCAGGCAGACUGGCCUUUCCCCGGCAAGAUGCAAUGUAAUUGCCAAUAGUUGCAAAGUGAUAUUUCCUGGACAGACUUAUGUAUUUCCUAAGUCUCCCUUAGCACACAUUUACAGCCUCACUCAAAGAUGGUUAUUCCUGGUCAUGGGUGGCCCCACCACAGAAGGCGGUUGCCAUAUCAAAGGACAGUUCAGUGAAGAGCUGGCAUGCAAAAAUCCGGAAGACUGACUCUUUCUGUGUUCUUCUACUGGCCCUGAACCUGGGAACUCCGUCUACCCUUCUCUCUGGAAGCUGAGACAAAGGAUCUCCGCAGCUCACGGAUUGCUCGCUUCGUGCACGACACAAAUCAGAUCUAAGCACUCCGUCCACCCUCAGGUCUGUCUUCGGCCGUCACACACUGUGGCUUCUCCCUUCUGCCAAAGCCAGGUGGAAGGAAGGCGAAGCUGGUACCAGGUGUCACAGUGACAUUCAGCACUGAAUAGAAGAUACACUCGCUUUUGAAAUUUCAACGAAACAAAACGAUCCUCUCCUAUUUUUCGGCCUUUUUGCUCCGUGCACAAUUGAACGCAAGUUGAUCUGGAUUGGCCUUCUUGGUUUGCCUUUCACUGCCACAUUUCAGAUUAAGGUUGGAUGUAUGAGCACGGGACAAAAAGAAGGAGAACACCAUUGCCCGAGGCGUUUACUUCAAGAUGGUUAACUGGGCAAGUUCCAUUCUUCACUAACGGCGGAAGGCGUGUUGUUAUCUCAUCCCUCCCUAUUUCUGGGCUGCUCGGAUCCUUGCACUGGCCUGGCACCGGCCAUGGCUUUCCCUGGACACUGGAGGCUCUGACUCAUCUCCACCCAAACUUUCAGGUUUCCUGAAGGCUUGGUUCCCCAGACGUUGGCGCCCCACCCAGAUCUUCUUUGAUACGCCAGUUUUUAGGAAACUACCUGCUGAAGAGAACCUGAGGCAGAGGUGAAGAUUUGCCCAGCUCACCCCGUUUUAUUUCUGACACAGCGACGGGAUAACCUCAGAAGCCAGGGAGGUGAUUUCAAUGAGAGGUUUAUUGGGCACAGAGAAUUUAUUUGGUUUCUGCUCUAUUUUUAUGAUCUUUUUUGGUAUUAAAGUAACGGUGGUUGGGGCACCUGGGUGGCUCAGUCGGUUGAGUGUCCGACUUCGGCUCAGGUCACAAUCUCGAAGUUCG